rnacentral:misc_RNA from 1 species
GAUGAAGAACGUAGCGAAAUGCGAUAAGUAAUGUGAAUUGCAGAAAUCAGUGAAUCAUCGAGUCUUUGAACGCACAUUGCGCCCCCUGGUAUUCCGGGGGGCAUGCCUGUCCGAGCGUCAUUGCUGCCCUCAAGCACGGCUUGUGUGUUGGGCCCCGUCCCCUCCCCCGGGGACGGGCCCGAAAGGCAGCGGCGGCACCGCGUCCGAUCCUCGAGCGUAUGGGGCUUUGUCACCCGCUCUGUAGGCCCGGCCGGCGCCAGCCGACACCCAACUUUUAUUUCUAAGGUUGACCUCGGAUCAGGUAGGGAUACCCGCUGAACUUAAGCAUAUCAAUAAGCGGAGGA